rnacentral:misc_RNA from 1 species
GAUGAAGAACGUAGCGAAAUGUGAUACUUGGUGUGAAUUGCAGAAUCCCGUGAACCAUCGAGUCUUUGAACGCAAGUUGCGCCCGAAGCCAUUAGGCCGAGGGCACGCCUGCCUGGGCGUCACACGUCGUUGCCCCCCCAUCUACUCCUUCGGGAUUGCGGGGGGCGGAUGAUGGCCUCCCGUGCGCCUCGUCGCGCGGUUGGCAUAAAUGCCAAGUCCUCGGCGACGCACGCCACGACAAUCGGUGGUUGCGAAACCUCGGUUGCCCGUCGUGUGCGGUCGUCGCGCAUCGAGGGCUCGAAAAAAUUGCCGGGCUCCGGCUCGGCUUUCAACGCGACCCCAGGUCAGGCGGGGUUACCCGCUGAAUUUAAGCAUAUCAAUAAGCGGAGGA